rnacentral:sRNA from 1 species
CUGUUCUUCUUCUUCUUCUCCC